UUCUAGCCCCCAGACCUACCCAAGAGGAGGCGGGCUAAGGUGAGUCGUAUGGCCCCGCCCCGCAAUUGACGGGCGCGUCUGUAGAUUCUCGUUAACGAUUGGCUGCGAGCGAUGCGUCCUGAUGUAAUGACCAGAAGCCCUCGGAGCCCUAGCACGCAGGCGCAGGUAGCGGUAGCUCGGAAGUCCGGUGUGAGUCACCUCGGUUGAAGAGGGUGUAGAAACAACUCUCCAGGUCAUCACAGGUGGUCAUGGACUGGAGUCUUUGGACAGCCUUCUUUCCUCCCCAUCCCAUUAACUGUGGGGUAAAAUGGUUUAAAAAACAUUAUACAAAGGCUAAUCAUUUUUAAAAUGUG
rnacentral:lncRNA from 1 species